CAGGGGGCUUAUGGUGUAAAACCAUUUUUAUACUACUACCAAGAUGUUACUUACCUUUUUUCUUUUUCUCGUCUCACAUGUGUACAGUGUUUUCCAGAGGUUACAUGACAUGUAACGCCACAACAGAUUGACUACAGAAGCAGGACAGGAAAGAAGACAGAGACAUAGGAAAGACGGCCAUGGGAAGACAGAAGCAGAGAUUGGGGUGAUGUGUCCACAAGCCAAGGAACACCAGGAAUUGCCAGUAGCCACCAGAAGCUGAAAGAGACA
rnacentral:lncRNA from 1 species